AACAUCAUGGUUAGGGGGCCGCCCUCCGUCUACGAAGCCCCUUGGCGCUCCUGCCCGCCCCAAAGUUUGGCGGAGCCGCAGCCCCGCGGCCUCCCGAGACGCGUUCGGGUUCCAAGGUCUCCGGUGCCCGGGCGCUGCAGCUUCAGGAUGGUGAUUUCCGGCGUCCUGGGGUCUCCUCCCCGCUGGGCGGCAGCUCGGACCCUUCACACCCGCAUUCCCAAGCGGCGAUCACUACUGAAAGGACAGAAAGAGCUGCAGUGAGACCUCGGCACGAGAGACCUAGACGAGAGCGUCUAGGGGGAUCCGGGCGUGAGCGGGAGCUCGGUAGGGGGUGUGUGGGAGCCGAGGCUGGGGGGGGGGUGUCCCGCGAAGGGAAGUCCCCUAAAUUCCAGCCGGCCCCUCCACACUCGGAUGCGCGAGCUGAGCUAUUGCCACAGCUUCCUUCCCAGGUGCGGGAGGAGACCCCGCGGCUUCCUGUUGCUGCGGCUGUGACCCGCAAGUGCUCCCUGCACGCCCCACCCGGAGUGGCCUCUGGGGCUGUGUCUGCGAACGCCAGCACCAGCAACAGAUCCUCCCCGCGCUGAAAACUUGCAAUGCGGCUGCGAAGGGGCGCGGGGGUGGGGUGGGGGCUAAUGCAAAGCAGAGGCGGUGACAGAGGCAACCAGGGUUCCAGCCGCCGCCGCCUCCUCCUCCUCCUCCUCCUCCUCCUCCUCCUCCUCCUCCUCCUCCUCCUCCUCCUCCUCCUCCUCCUCCCCCUCCUCCUCCUCCUCCUCCUCCCCCUCCUCCUCCUCCUCCUCCCCAUCCCUCCUCCUAUUCCUUCCCUCCCUCCCUCCUCCCUCCUCCCUCCUCCUCCUCCUCCUCCCGGAGAAGCAGCCGUACGGCUGCAGCUCCAUCUACAGCAACAGCCAGCAUCUCAGCCGCCAGGCUCCCCUCUGGAUUUAGGCCGUGAGCAGCCGCAGCGACAGCUCGAGACAAAAAUAAACUCUCCCUACCCAAAGCUCGGCGCGGCUCAGUCGGAGCCCUCACUCCCCAGAGCUGCGCCAGCCCACCCGGGAGGUUUCCCUGGGCCUGCUUAGCCCACGGCGAUCAGAUGUGCGUGUGCGCGCGUGUGAUUUAGGCAUCCUGCCCCGGUCCCCGCCGCCGCCUGCGGGCCCGAGUGUCCUCGCCCUCCGGUCCCAGGCCCAAGGCGAUGCGGUUGGGGGCGCACGCCUUACGCGGAGACCGCGGGAGCCGGUAGCACGGCUUUCCCAGGUGGCAGGGCGGUCCCCGAGGGAAAAGCAGGUCCCUCCCUUCGGCACACGCCCCCCAAGGACCUCAGAGAAGAAAAGUUAGGUUUAGGGGUUCCAUGGUCCCAUACAGCUCCCGUGGCGCGGCGAGGAGAGACUAACCGCUCGGCUCUCUUGGAGCCGCUCGCGUCCAGCAUCUGCCACCCAGAACUUCUGGGUAGAAAAGCGAAGCCUCCCGGAAAGGGUCGGAGGGACCGCUGGGUGCCUCUCCCGGGGAAGCAAAAGGGACACUCACCUCCACGCAGUUCAUCCCUGCGGUUUGGGGCCCUGCGCACGGGUCCGGGGCCGUAGCAGCAAUCAACGGGGUUGAGGGCGCUCCGAGCGCGGGGUGCCGGCCAUGCCGUCGGGGCUGGCGGCGCGCGGAGAGGGCAGCGCUGCGGGUUCGGGGCGCUAUCGCUGCCGCCGCUGCUGCCUCCAGUGUCGGCUCGCGAAGGACUGAGCCGCCCGGAGCUCCCCACAUGCUACUGAUUAACAUACACCAUUACAUCAUGGGCUUGGCAGGGAGCGCCCGAGCGGGGGGAGAGGAACCCGGGCGGCGGCGGCGGCACGCGGGGGAGUCGGGGGGAGGAUCCCCGGGCCCGGCGGGCGGCGGGCUGGGGGGAGGGACGGAUUCCUAAGCCCGGACCAUAGAGGAGGAGGGAGCCAAGUGGGAGGAGCGGAAGAGCACAGAUUGGAAGAUCUGCGUAGCGAAACACAGAAGUUUGGGGAAGGGGAGGGGUCCGGGCGAAUUCCUCCCGGCUGCCACCCGCGUGUUCUACAGCGGCCAGGGCACUGGAGCCGCCGGAGUUGGGACAGGAGUGAAUCCCAACCGAGCUGGACCGGAGCGGGAACGGUGCUGCCACCCGCCGCUCGCCCUUGGGAAUGUGGCUCGCCAGGUCCAGUGACCCUUUGGUCUGGGACCCGUGGGUGGCUGACUGGUGUAGACCGUAAACACCCGGAGUCACUGUCUCUGGGGGCUUGGAUGGGUUCCUGGGGGAUGGGACCCGGGAAGUGGCAGAGGGCGGCGAAGGGCACAGCGCAGGGCUGGACGUGCCUGGUCGUAGGACUCCACGAGGCCCUUGUCCAGGAAAAGCAAGCAGCGCCUGGUGGACCACCCUCGGCCCAAGUCGGGCGCCGGAUGCCCUUUGCUUUUGCAGUCACGGGCACCCGCCUCCGGCCUCGCUUUCCCGGGAAGAGGAGGCGGACUUCGGGAGCCUGAUCUCAAGCUAUGCUUGGCGCGCGGCUGUGGCUGGUGGCCGGGAGCUGUGGCCCCAGGCGCCCUGGGCGACGGGGAGGCGUGGCGAGACCACCUGUCAGCACCGCGGAGUUCGGGGGACGCAGCUUUCACCUGUGCCUGGAAAGGGCGGGGCCGGAGGCUGGGCAGGGAUUUGCGGCUGGCAGCUCUAGGUCUCCUACUACAAAAUGCAUGCAUGGGUCAAUUUCCCAAAAGAAGGGGGUUGGCUAAAAAUACCCCAAAGCCUAAACCUCUCUGCACCCUCUAAUGUAAGCAUUCACAAAGGAACUCGGCCAAAAUCCGUCCUGUUUUCAGGGAGAAAGGCCGAGCCUUCGAACUUGAAUUUGUUAAGGAGUGCUGGAAAAACAAACGCGGGCCUGCCUGCCAUGCUCUAGCUAGCACAGUUUUUAAGGUAAAGUAUCCAAGGCCUUAUUCCGCCAUCUUUCAGCUCCCACACUUGCAUCUGGAUUUCCAAUCCUUUCGUACCCCAGUGCUCAGAUUUCAUUUCUGCCCCGUGUAGGUCCUGCCAGUGUAACAACACCUCCCAUCUCUUAGGGUAUUGAAAGGGCUUGUAGGGUGGCACAAUGUUUUGCCAAUGUUUCCAUCACAACUGAGUGUGUGAAUUUUUAAAAGUUCACUAUUAACCACCCAGAGGAGGUAUCUGCAAAAUUUGAUGACUAGCUUGCUCUAUUUAGGAAACACUAAUCCCGGAGUCAGAGUUUGAUUUCUGAUUUAUUUUAUUAUCAUAGAAGCAGGACAGUUUUGUAGAGUCCCCCACCCUCCACCCUAGCAUGUCAGCUACUCCUUGGUAGUACUUCUGCCAGAAAAUAGGGAAGCCAAUGAGAGAUGGGACCACGCGGUGCUAACUCAGCCAAGGGUUUUAGAUGUCCCCCAAUGGAUUGUUGCUGUUAUUGUUAAAGAAAACCAAUGAUACACCGAUAACGUAACUAUUGUCGUCUGCUACAAAAAUAGGGCUAGUAAACCAGGGGGUCCAGACGGUUAAGUCCAGAGAGUUAAGUUGCAAACACAGCGAUGAAAGAAAAUAGUGCCACCUACGGGAGAAGCGUGGUUCUGAAGGCAGUCUUUAACCUAGGAACCAGUGUCAUACUUAGAUCAUCAUUGAAGUCUUGCUGUUCAGCAUGAUUUUGCAUUUUUUUGCUUCUCCUGAUGUUUGCUUAGCAAAUAAUAUCCCUGGACAACAACUCAAAUGUUCGGGUGUGUUUGAAAGAUUAUCGAUUCCAAAAAGGUCAGUUGCCUUUCUAAGUAUUUUUUUUAAUUACAGGUAUCCCGGAGAACCCUAUGUUUAUGUUAUUUCAAUGAAACUUCUAGAAGUAAGAUAAAUUACCACACAGCCCAGUAAAUAAAGCGCCUUUUGCAAGUUUGACUGCACAGUGCCCCGACUGGUUACCGAGGCCUGCCGGUCGACCGCCUAGCCUAGACAGUGUGCUGCAGGGUCAGAGAAAGACCCUGUCUUUAAAAAUAAGGUUGAGAAAAAUAUAAGAUGCACAACGGGGCAAGAGGGGGGAUACACACAUCACAUAGACUUAUAGAAGCAUUAGAGCUGUUUAUUUCGUGGGCUGGGAAACAUUUGCAAAACUCUGCAUAAAGAUAUAUGGUCAUCAUGCUUUUCUUUCAACCAUUCAAUAAGUAUGUAUGGAUACUUAUUCUGUGCCAGGUCCUCAAGAAGGAACACUAAAGACAGAUGGCAAUCUUCAUCCAAUAUGGAAGCUUAUAUGAUAUAGGAGUAUUUACUAUACGAAGAAAUAUAUAAGUAAAAUCUACAUUCCUCAAAGUAUGUAAUUAUUUAACAUGCUAAGAAAAUAUAGGUAUUCGAUGUUCAUUUUAUAUAUACAUGGCAUAUGAGAAUGUACGAUAUUACCCUAAAGUGUGAUUAUUUUCCCUAAAAAGAAAUGUGUGGCAUUUCUGAUGAUUAUUGUCUUGUCUCUCUCUUUUCUACAAGAAGCUUAAAAAUGAGAACAAAAUACUGCAUGAGCUUACAACUGCUGCCCCAAGUUAGAAGAUUCCUUAAGAACUAUGCUGGUAAUGCUCAUGUAGAGCGCUGUCCCACAGCUGGAAGGCCCUGAGUUGGAUUCCUAGCACCACAGAGAAGGGAGCACUGGACUGUAAAUCUCAGGCCUGCACAUCCCAGGAACUGAUAGGGAGCCUCUCAGGCUCCUUCAUUUAGUCUUGUCCUACCAUCUACCCAGGCUUCCUACCUCAGCUCUUAGCUUCCUUGACAGUUCAGACAACAUUUACAUUUCAGAUUCUUCAGGUUGGCAUAGAAAGACUAGAACUCGAGCAUUUUCUGUUUCUUUGAGCUUCUCUUCAAUAAAUCUGCUCUUUCGUUCAACGAGGGGCGCUUAUUAAAUAUAGGACACUACACUGUCAAAGAGGGAGGAUCAAAGAAGGUAGGAGACACAUUGAUCUUUUGACUCUCUAACUGAAAGCCUGAGAUAAUAUACUUGUGAUAUACAUGUAUGUGUGUGGGGGGGGUGGUGUACACGUCCGCACGCACAGUAUGUGCAGUAUCAAGUGGGUCACAUCGAGGCAAGCUUCAGAGUUGAGAAAGUCCAGAAAGACAGGCCUUCUGCCAGGAAAUGAAGAAAGCACUGUGGAUGUUUCCUCCUGAGCCUGAGCCAGCGUUACUGGAAUUAAUUGCUUUAGCCGAGAUGGACAAAAUUUUAACCAUUGAUGAAUCCAGCAAGAGGUGGAUAUAUAUACAUAUAUAUAUAUAUAUAUUGUUUGUAUCCAUAUGGUAUCUGGAGGACUCUGCGUUUGUGUGUUUUAAGUUUUACUUUGGCAGUAAUAGGUAAAACAAGGAGAGAGGAGGCCCUCCUCCACAUUGCUACUGAAUUUCAGUGGCAAGCAGCCCCGUGGCAUCUAAGUGAGGAGUAUCCCUUUUUGGAUUUCCUGGUAAUACAAUUUUUAGAACUCUACCCUACUAAAGUAAAAAACACUAUUAGUGUAAGACAAACAGUAUUAAAGUACAAGAUUGACAUUCGGUGUCAUUUGAAAUAGCAAGAACAGAAUAGAAUCAUGGGUCAGUAAACUAUCAAACGUCCACCUCAAUACACCUGUCUUCAAAAGUAAGUUAUAUUUGAGAACAGUGUUUCCAAAUACAACAGAUUGAUGAACUCCUAGAGGAACAGAGAGGUAAAUUAACGUGUGAAAAGGUGCAGCCAAGUACUCACUUCAUAUAUACAAAAUAAUAAUAAUAAUAAUAAUAAUAAUAAUAAUAAUAAUAAUACAGCCAAAAUAUUGAGUAUAGGAAUGGGUUGUAUUUGCCAUUUAACUCUUCCAACUUUUCAGCACUUAGAAUUCUUUCUAGUAAGAGAUUCAAAAGGAAUAGGCCAGUGGUAUACAAAUGGCCUGGAAAAUUUAUUCCUCCGAAAUCUAUUCUAUAAUUCUAUUUUUUGUGUGAUUAGGAAAGUCAGCUCUAAUGGGUAAGGAGGCUGAACAUUUCCAAAGAAGCCGUCGUUCCAUCUGUGUCAGGCAAAUUCAAAAGCAGUGUGAGAUUCCGUCUCACCCCGGCAGAAUGGCUGUGAAGAAGGAAACAGUCGACUGACUGGAGAGUUUGUGGAGUACGCAGGUCACGUAUCCACUGUUGGUAGGGUGCUUACUAAUGCAAUGACAAUGGAAACCAGACCGGGGUCCUUCGAAGUAGCAAAAGGGUAACUGACUGGCAUGCCACCCAGAUCCCCUGUUCCCGAGCUUAUCCUGCCACAGAGAUACCCACAUGCCCAUGUUUUCUGCUGUUCUGUUCACAAAUGCAUGGGAAUGGAGCCACCCUAUCUUUCCCUCAGCUGGUGCCUGGGUAAGGAAAGCAUGGCAUAUAUGCACAAGGGAUGCUAUUCAGUCGUCAAGAAAACUGAAGCUAUGGAAUUUACAGAAAUAAUUGCUGUAACCGAAAAGGAUCGUAUUGAGUAAGGCUAAUGAAAAAAUUUAAAGAAGAGAGAACGUCAGCUUAAGACUGGGAAUCCCAUCUCGGAGCCCAGACCCAUUACUUACCAGCUCUGUGGCCCUAAGACAUUUCCCACCCUGAACCCCAGCUUUAUUGGUAAUAAUCCAACCUUGUUGUCAUUAUGACUAAUAAAGUCCUCAGUAUAUCUAUAUUUCUUAAA